AGAGUUCGAUCCUGGCUCAGGAUAAAUGCUGUCGGGAUUCUUAACACAUGCAAGUCGGAUAGAAAACAUGGAAAAUGGUAUUUCCAGUGGCAGAUGGAUGAGUAACGUGUAAGAACCUACCUUUGGGAGGGGGACAAUAGCUGGAAACGACUGCUAAUACCCCAUAGGCUGAAGAGCAAAAGGAGGAAUCCACCCGAGGAGGGGCUCGCGUUUGAUUAGCUAGUUGGUGAAGCAAUAGCUUACCAAGGUGAUGAUCAGUAGCUGGUCUGAGAGGAUGAUCAGCCACACUGGGACUGAAACACUGCCCAGACUCCUACAGGAGGCAGCAGUGGGGAAUUUUCUGCCAUGGGAUAAAAACUUGACGGAGCAAUGCCACGUAGAGGUAGAAGUCCUACGAGUCAUGAACUUAUUUUCCUGGAGAAGAAGUAAUAACAGUAUUUGGGAAAUAAGCAUUGGCUAACUCUGUUCCAGCAUGCACAAUAAUACAGAGGAUGCAAGCGUUAUCUAGAAUGAUUGGGCGUAAAGUAUCUGUAGUUGGAUUUUUAAGUUCACUAUCAAAUCCUAGGGCUCAACCAUGGACAGGAGGUGGAAACUACCAAGCUGGAGUACGGUAGGGGCAGAGCAAAUUUUCGAUGGAGUGGUGAAAUACAUAAAGAUUAGAAAGAACACCAAUGGCAAAAGCACUCUCCUGGGCUAACACCGAUACUGAGAGAUGAAAGGUAGGGGAGAGAAUGGGAUUAGAUACCUCAGUAGUCCUAGCCAUAAAUGAUGGAUACUAGGCGUUGUGCAUAUCGACCCAUGCUGUGUUGUAGAUAAUGCAUUAAGUAUCCUUCCUGGGAGUACGUUCGCAAGAAUGAAACUCAAAGAAAUUGAUGGGGGCCCGUACAAUAGGUGGAGCAUCAGAUUCAAUUCGAUUCAAAUUGAAGAACCUUACCAGGGCUUGACAUGCCAUGAAUCCUCUUGAAGGAGAGGGGUGCGUUCAGGAACACAGACAUAGGUGGUGUAUGGUUGUCGUCAGCUCAUGCCGUAAGGUGUUGGGUUAAGUCCUAUAACAAGCGCAACCCUCAUUUUUAGUUUCCAUCAUUGAGUUUAGAACCCUGAACAGACUACUGGUGAUAAGCCAGAGAAAGGUGAGGAUGACGUCAAGUCAUCAUUCCCCUUAUGCCCUGGGCAACACACAUGCUACAAUGGUCGUGACAAAGGUUCAUGAUCUCACGAGGGUGAUCUAACCUCAAAAACCCGUCUUUAGUUUGGAUUGCAGGCUGCAACGUGCCUGCAUGAAGCCAAAAUCACUAUUAAUCAUCGGUCAGCCAUACGGUGGUGAAUUCAUUCCCGAGCCUUGUACACACUGCCCACCACACUAUGGGAGCUGGCCAUGCCCGAAGUUAUUACCUUAACUACAAGGAGGAGGAUGUAGAAGGGAGGGCUAGUGACUGGAGUGAAGUCAUAACAUGGUAGCCGUACUGGAAGGUGCGGAUG
rnacentral:rRNA from 1 species